rnacentral:rRNA from 1 species
GACGGAGGAUGCAAGAGUUAUCCGGACUCACUGGGCGUAAAGCGUCUGUAGGUGGUCAAAUAAGUCAACUGUUAAAUCUUGAGGCUCAACCUCAAAAUCGCAGUCGAAACUAUUAGACUAGAGUAUAGUAGGGGUAAAGGGAAUUUCCAGUGGAGCGGUGAAAUGCGUAGAGAUUGGAAAGAACACCGAUGGCGAAGGCAAUUUACUGGGCUAUUACUAACACUGAGAGACGAAAGCUAGGGUAGCAAAUGGG